rnacentral:rRNA from 1 species
CAGUAGCCACGGUAAUACGAGGGGUGCAAGCGUUAUUCGGAUUGAUUGGGUGUGAAGGGUGUGCAGACGGCUUAUUAAGUCACUUGUUAAAUUCUUCGGCCUAACUGAAGGUCUGCAAGUGAUACUGAUGAGCUAGAGGGUGGAAGAGAGAAGUGGAAUUCUCGGAGUAGCGGUAAAAUGCGUAGAUCUCGAGAGGAACACCAAUGGCGAAGGCAGCUUCUUGGUCCAUUCCUGACGUUCAUACACGAAAGCGUGGGGAGCAAACAGGAUUAGAUACCCCCGUAGUCCCUGUCUCUUAUAC